rnacentral:lncRNA from 1 species
AAGAAUUUGCACUUCUCAACGGAUAUCGACAUAAUCAAACAAGAUGUGGAGUCCAAAGCUCACGCUGUUAGAAACAUUAGUAAUAUUCAAAGUCGUGUAACCAAAGAGCCAUUGAAUUUGUUCUACUUAGACAUUGAGCCCAACAAUAAGAACUUAGAUAUAUACAAAGUUAAACUCAUUGGUAACGCAGUUGUUAAUAUAGAACCACCCCGUAAAACCAAAGAAAUCGUUCAGUGUUAUCGUUGCCAGGAAUUUGGACACACAAAGUCAUAUUGUGCCAAAACUCACAGAUGUGUGAAAUGCUCUCUUAACCAUCCCAGCAACGUUUGCCCAAAAGAUAAAGAGCAACCAGAAAAAUGUGCCAACCGCAACGAAGAUCAUGCUGCUAGUUAGAAAGGGUGUAAAGUCUAUCAGGAUCUUAUAUAAAAAAAAAUAGUAAGCAGACGCAACCACCAGAGAAACACCAAAGAUGACAAUAAUAAAAAUGAGCAUGGUACAUAUCAAUCAUUUGCUCCGUUUAAUAAUUCGACCCAACAACCCAAAGAUUACCAAUCAUACGCUCAAGUUGUUGCAGGAAAUAGUACCUCGAACAAAUCUCUAGAAAGAAUAGUACAGCUUCUAGAAAAACAAUCUCAACUUACCAAUAAUUUACUUAACAUGAUAAUGUUACUUGUAAAUAAGCUAUGC